UUAUGAAUAAGGAUCGGCUAACUCCGUGCCAGCAGCCGCGGUAAUACGGAGGAUCCGAGCGUUAUCCGGAUUUAUUGGGUUUAAAGGGUGCGUAGGCGGCCUUUUAAGUCAGCGGUGAAAGUCUGUGGCUCAACCAUAGAAUUGCCGUUGAAACUGGGAGGCUUGAGUAUGUUUGAGGCAGGCGGAAUGCGUGGUGUAGCGGUGAAAUGCUUAGAUAUCACGCAGAACCCCGAUUGCGAAGGCAGCCUGCCAAGCCAUGACUGACGCUGAUGCACGAAAGCGUGGGGAUCAAACAGGAUUAGAUACCCUGGUAGUCCACGCAGUAAACGAUGAUCACUAGCUGUUUGCGAUACACAGUAAGCGGCACAGCGAAAGCGUUAAGUGAUCCACCUGGGGAGUACGCCGGCAACGGUGAAACUCAAAGGAAUUGACGGGGGCCCGCACAAGCGGAGGAACAUGUGGUUUAAUUCGAUGAUACGCGAGGAACCUUACCCGGGUUUGAACGCAUUCGGACCGAGGUGGAAACACCUUUUCUAGCAAUAGCCGUUUGCGAGGUGCUGCAUGGUUGUCGUCAGCUCGUGCCGUGAGGUGUCGGCUUAAGUGCCAUAACGAGCGCAACCCUUGCCACUAGUUACUAACAGGUGAUGCUGAGGACUCUGGUGGGACUGCCAGCGUAAGCUGCGAGGAAGGCGGGGAUGACGUCAAAUCAGCACGGCCCUUACAUCCGGGGCGACACACGUGUUACAAUGGCGUGGACAAAGGGAUGCCACCUGGCGACAGGGAGCGAAUCCCCAAACCACGUCUCAGUUCGGAUCGGAGUCUGCAACCCGACUCCGUGAAGCUGGAUUCGCUAGUAAUCGCGCAUCAGCCAUGGCGCGGUGAAUACGUUCCCGGGCCUUGUACACACCGCC
rnacentral:rRNA from 1 species